AGUGAACGCUGGCGGUAGGCCUAACACAUGCAAGUCGAACGGCAGCACAGUAAGAGCUUGCUCUUACGGGUGGCGAGUGGCGGACGGGUGAGGAAUACAUCGGAAUCUACUUUUUCGUGGGGGAUAACGUAGGGAAACUUACGCUAAUACCGCAUACGACCUACGGGUGAAAGCAGGGGAUCUUCGGACCUUGCGCGAUUGAAUGAGCCGAUGUCGGAUUAGCUAGUUGGCGGGGUAAGGGCCCACCAAGGCGACGAUCCGUAGCUGGUCUGAGAGGAUGAUCAGCCACACUGGAACUGAGACACGGUCCAGACUCCUACGGGAGGCAGCAGUGGGGAAUAUUGGACAAUGGGCGCAAGCCUGAUCCAGCCAUACCGCGUGGGUGAAGAAGGCCUUCGGGUUGUAAAGCCCUUUUGUUGGGAAAGAACAGCAGCAGGUUAAUACCCCGCUGUUCUGACGGUACCCAAAGAAUAAGCACCGGCUAACUUCGUG
rnacentral:rRNA from 1 species